rnacentral:piRNA from 1 species
UGCACGCGCACGUAUCUCAUGCUGCAUC